rnacentral:rRNA from 1 species
UACGAAGGGGGCUAGCGUUGUUCGGAAUUACUGGGCGUAAAGCGCACGUAGGCGGAUAUUUAAGUCAGGGGUGAAAUCCCAGAGCUCAACUCUGGAACUGCCUUUGAUACUGGGUAUCUUGAGUAUGGAAGAGGUAAGUGGAAUUGCGAGUGUAGAGGUGAAAUUCGUAGAUAUUCGUCAGGAACACCAGUGGCGAAGGCGCUUACUGGUCCAUUACUGACGCUGAGGUGCGAAAGCGUGGGGAGCAAACAGG